rnacentral:rRNA from 1 species
UACGGAGGGUGCGAGCGUUGUCCGGAAUCACUGGGCGUAAAGGGCGCGUAGGCGGCGCGGUAAGCGUGCGGUGAAAGCCCGGGGCUCAACCCCGGGUCGGCCGUGCGGACUGCCGGGCUCGAGCACUGUAGAGGCGGGUGGAAUUCCGGGUGUAGCGGUGGAAUGCGUAGAGAUCCGGAAGAACACCGGUGGCGAAGGCGGCCCGCUGG